rnacentral:rRNA from 1 species
UUAGAUACCCCACUAUUAAAAAUCUAAAUUGAGGAAGCGAAAAUAGUAUAUAAUUAUUUAUAAAAACAUAAAUAAUUUGGCGGUUUUUUAGUUUAUUUAGGGGAAUCUGUUCAUUAAUUGAUAUUCCAGGAAUAAAUUUUCUUAAUUUAUUUAAUUUUGUAUAUCGUUGUGAAAAAAAGACUGAAAAAUUAUAAUAAUAUUUUAAUUUUGAUAUUAAAAGUGAAAUCAGAUCAAGAUGUGUAUAAUAAUUAAGAAUAUAAUGGAUUACAAUAAAUCCAUUUAAUCGGAUGUUAUUUUUAGGAGUUGAUGGAAAUUCUAUUUGGUGUCAAUCUGACCUAAUUA